rnacentral:piRNA from 1 species
AAAUACUUAGGAUGGAAAACUGAU